rnacentral:rRNA from 1 species
AGAGUUUGAUCCUGGCUCAGGAUGAACGCUGGCGGCGUGCUUAACACAUGCAAGUCGAACGAAGCACUUUAUUUGAUUUCUUCGGAAUGAAGAUUUUGUGACUGAGUGGCGGACGGGUGAGUAACGCGUGGGUAACCUGCCUCAUACAGGGGGAUAACAGUUGGAAACGGCUGCUAAUACCGCAUAAGCGCACAGUACCGCAUGGUACGGUGUGAAAAACUCCGGUGGUGUGAGAUGGACCCGCGUCUGAUUAGCUAGUUGGCAGGGCAACGGCCUACCAAGGCGACGAUCAGUAGCCGACCUGAGAGGGUGACCGGCCACAUUGGGACUGAGACACGGCCCAAACUCCUACGGGAGGCAGCAGUGGGGAAUAUUGCACAAUGGGGGAAACCCUGAUGCAGCGACGCCGCGUGAGCGAAGAAGUAUUUCGGUAUGUAAAGCUCUAUCAGCAGGGAAGAAAAUGACGGUACCUGACUAAGAAGCACCGGCUAAAUACGUGCCAGCAGCCGCGGUAAUACGUAUGGUGCAAGCGUUAUCCGGAUUUACUGGGUGUAAAGGGAGCGUAGGUGGCUGCGCAAGUCAGAAGUGAAAGCCCGGGGCUUAACCUCGGGACUGCUUUUGAAACUGUGUAGCUAGAGUGCAGGAGAGGUAAGUGGAAUUCCUAGUGUAGCGGUGAAAUGCGUAGAUAUUAGGAGGAACACCAGUGGCGAAGGCGGCUUACUGGACGAUUACUGACGCUGAGGCUCGAAAGCGUGGGGAGCAAACAGGAUUAGAUACCCUGGUAGUCCACGCCGUAAACG